rnacentral:pre_miRNA from 1 species
AUUGUACUCCGUCCCGAAUUACUCGUGGCAAAAAUAGAUGUAUUUAGAUGUAUUUUAGUUUUAGAUUCAUCCAUAUUUAUCUAUUUCUGUAACAAGUAAUUCCGGACGGAGGUACUGU